GCCUUGCUUCAAGCAUUGUCAAGGAAUGAUAUUGACUAUGCAACACCGAUUGCGAGGUGGCUAACGAUGUAACAGAACUAUGGUGGUGGAUUUCACUCGACGCAGGACACAAUCAUUGCCUUGGAAGCUUCAUCACGAUACGACAUUGCAUUUCUGAAGCGGGAAGAAGAAAUCAACAUGCAAAUUCAAUUCCAUGGUUUUGGAAGUCCCAUUGAGAACACGAUUCAUUUGCGCCGGCAUAAUGCUCUGACCGAGAAAGAAUUGAGGUAAUUGCAUGACAGUUUGACUGGUUCGUUGAGAGUGAGGAACCUAUGGACUCUCAGACACCAAGAUGGAAUUUAGUUCAAAGAGUGACUUCAAAAUGUUCCGCAAGUUUUAGUGUAAACUGGUGGAGACUUUCGGUGCUUGCAAAAAGGCUCACCUCUCCGUUCAUACCGAAGGAAAAUGGGAGUUUAAAAAACCAUACGAUGAGACUGUUUUGAUGAGGAAUUUAAAGAUUACGAGUCGUGUCCGUUUGACUCACAGUUUGGUACCAUAGGUUGGUACGAUCUUCGUUGGAGAAGGAAAAGGGAUGUUCCAGAUCCAGAAAAUCGUCAAACCAUUUACUACAAAGUCCGUUUCUGAUUCUGAUGUCGGUAACUGGAAAGCCUCCAUUGUUGGAGGACGAGAAGCCGUAUCCAAUUGAAGCAGCACAGGCUUCUGCGAUGACUGUGGAAACCACUGCUUCUGCCUUGCUUCAAGCGUUGUCAAGGAAUGAUAUUGACUAUGCAAC